rnacentral:rRNA from 1 species
GACGAACGCUGGCGGCGUGCUUAACACAUGCAAGUCGAGCGGUAAGGCCCUUCGGGGUACACGAGCGGCGAACGGGUGAGUAACACGUGGGUGACCUGCCCUCCACUUCGGGAUAAGCCUGGGAAACUGGGUCUAAUACCGGAUAGGACCUCCUGGUGCAUGCUGGGUGGUGGAAAGUUUUUCGGUGGGGGAUGGGCCCGCGGUCUAUCAGCUUGUUGGUGGGGUGAUGGCCUACCAAGGCGACGACGGAUAGCCGGCCUGAGAGGGUGACCGGCCACACUGGGACUGAGACACGGCCCAGACUCCUACGGGAGGCAGCAGUGGGGAAUAUUGCACAAUGGGCGCAAGCCUGAUGCAGCGACGCCGCGUGGGGGAUGAAGGCCUUCGGGUUGUAAACUCCUUUCGCCAUUGACGAAGCCCUUUGGGGUGACGGUAGGUGGAGAAGAAGCACCGGCUAACUACGUGCCAGCAGCCGCAGUAAAA